CCCUUAGAUGUUCUGGGCUGCACGCGCGCUACACUGAUGCGCUCAACGAGUUUAUGACCUUGCCCGGAAGGGUUGGGUAAUCUUCUUAAAACGCAUCGUGAUGGGGAUAGAUUAUUGCAAUUAUUAAUCUUGAACGAGGAAUUCCUAGUAAAUGCAGAUCAUCAUUCUGCGUUGAUUACGUCCCUGCCCUUUGUACACACCGCCCGUCGCACCUACCGAUUGAAUGAUCCGGUGAAGCCUCGGGAUUGUGCCCAGAGAACUUUAUUGUGAUUUGGGUGUGAGAACUUGUCUAAACCUUAUCAUUUAGAGGAAGGUGAAGUCGUAACA
rnacentral:rRNA from 1 species